CCGAGUUACAACUCUCAAACCCUGUGAACGAAGACCCGUUGCUUCCGGCCGGCCCGCCGCUCAUGCGCCGCCGGAGACCGCAAACUCUUGUAUUCUUAGUUCUCUGAGUACUAAUCAAUAAGUA
rnacentral:misc_RNA from 1 species